rnacentral:rRNA from 1 species
UCCCUUAGUAGCGGCGAGCGAACAGGGAAGAGCCCAGCGCCGAAUUCCGCGUCUCAAAGGGCGUUUGGAACAUGUGGCGUUUAGGAGGAAUCUCUCCGAGGGCAGACGGUGUCGCAAGUCCCCCUGAACGGGGCUGUGAUCCAGAGCGGGUGCGAGGCCCAUAGCUGGUACCGUCUCCUUUGGGUGUCCCCUCCUUGGAGUCGGGUUGCUUGGGAGUGCAGCCCUAAUUGGGUGGUAAACUCCACCUAAGGCUAAAUACGUCCGUGAGACCGAUAGCAAACAAGUACCGUGAGGGAAAGUUGCAAAGAACUUUGAAGAGAGAGUUCAAGAGUACGUGAAACCGCUCAGAGGCAAACGGGUGGGCCCACGAAAGCCGAAGGCGGGGGGAUUCAGUCGAGAGGACGGUGGGGUAGGACUGGCUGGUUGGACGGACCGUGCCAGGCCGGGUCAGUUCCCGAGAUCUGCCGCCUUUCGACGCAUUUCCCCCUGCUUAGUAGGACGCCGCAACCGGUUGGCGCUGCAGCCAUAAGGGAGAGUAAAUGGAAGGUAGCCAGUGAGUUCUUCUUCGCAGGUGCGAGCUGGUCCUAAGCCGACUCUCCUGGUGCUUGUGGCCCGACCGUGGUCGUGAGUCCCUCAACGGGAUGUCGCCGAGCCCUCUAACUGGAGCGGGAGAAGUGGCAGGCUGCUUUCCGCGGAAAAAAUCGAUCGCCUUCACGCGUGCAGUGGGCGAUCUCCGGAGGUAGCUGCUGGUGCGUUUUUCUCCUGCGCUGGGCACAGGCAGUUGGCGGCGAGUAGGUCGGUCACCCACCCGACCCGUCUUGAAACACGGACCAAGGAGUCUAACAUGUGCGCGAGUCAUUGGGUCUUGAACAAGCCCAAAGGCGCAAUGAAAGUGAAGACCAGCACUGAAGCUGGUGGAGUUGGGAAACUGUGUCACUGAAGAUGCAGUUGCACCAACGGCCCGUCCCGUCCGCAUCGUCGGUGGGGCGGAGCGAGAGCGUACACGUUGGGACCCGAAAGAUGGUGAACUAUGCCUGGGCAGGACGAAGCCAGAGGAAACUCUGGUGGAGGUCCG